UACAGGGGGUGCAAGCGUUGUUCGGAAUUACUGGGCGUAAAGCGCGGGCAGGUGGCCCGCUAAGUCUGCGGUGAAAUCCCGGAGCUCAACUCCGGAUAUGCCGCGGAUACUGGCGGGCUAGAGACCAGUAGAGGCGAGUGGAAUUCCAGGUGUAGCGGUGGGAUGCGUAGAUAUCUGGAGGAACACCGGUGGCGAAGGCGGCAUCCUGGACCAUGACUGACGCUGAGUGAGCGAAAGCCAGGGGAGCAAACGGG
rnacentral:rRNA from 1 species